AACGAACGCUGGCGGCAGGCCUAACACAUGCAAGUCGAACGCCGUAGCAAUACGGAGUGGCAGACAGGUGAGUAACGCGUGGGAACCUUCCCAGUGGUACGGAAUAGCUCAGGGAAACCUGGGGUAAUACCGUAUACGCCCUUCGGGGGAAAGAUUUAUCGCCAUUGGAUGGGCCCGCGUCGGAUUAGCUAGUUGGUGGGGUAAUGGCCCACCAAGGCGACGAUCCGUAGCUGGUCUGAGAGGAUGAUCAGCCACACUGGGACUGAGACACGGCCCAGACUCCUACGGGAGGCAGCAGUGGGGAAUAUUGGACAAUGGGCGCAAGCCUGAUCCAGCCAUGCCGCGUGAGUGACGAAGGCCUUAGGGUUGUAAAGCUCUUUUGGCGGGGAAGACAAUGACGGUACCCGCAGAAUAAGCUCCGGCUAACUUCGUGCCAGCCGCCGCUGUAAUAC
rnacentral:rRNA from 1 species